rnacentral:rRNA from 1 species
GUAAGGAAUAUUGGUCAAUGGAGGCAACUCUGAACCAGCCAUGCCGCGUGCAGGAAGACGGCCCUCUGGGUUGUAAACUGCUUUUAUCUGGGAAUAAACCUGCUUACGUGUAAGUAGCCGAAUGUACCAGAAGAAUAAGGAUCGGCUAACUCCGUGCCAGCAGCCGCGGUAAUACGGAGGAUCCAAGCGUUAUCCGGAUUUAUUGGGUUUAAAGGGUGCGUAGGCGGCCUGUUAAGGCAGGGGUGAAAGACGGUGGCUCAACCAUCGCAGUGCCCUUGAUACUGAUGGGCUUGAAUGGACUAGAGGUAGGCGGAAUGAGACAAGUAGCGGUGAAAUGCAUAGAUAUGACUCAGAACACCGAUUGCGAAGGCAGCUUACCAGGCCAUAACAGACACUGAAGCACGAAAGCGUGGGGAUCGAACAGGAUUAGAUACCCUAGUAGUCC